rnacentral:tRNA from 1 species
GGAAGUGUGGCCGAGUGGUUGAAGGCACUAGUCUUGAAAACUAGCGAGGGUGUGAGCCCUUCGUGAGUUCGAAUCUCACCGCUUCCGCCA